rnacentral:misc_RNA from 1 species
UCCGAGUUGACCCCGGCGGUCUCCCGUGAGUCCCCGGCGGGCCGAAGCCCCCGCUGGCAACACGGGACAAGGGUUGCGCUCGUUGCGGGACUUAACCCAACAUCUCACGACACGAGCUGACGACAACCAUGCACCACCUGUACACCGACCUUGCGGGGCGACCAUCUCUGGCCGUUUCCGGUGUAUGUCAAGCCUUGGUAAGGUUCUUCGCGUUGCAUCGAAUUAAUCCGCAUGCUCCGCCGCUUGUGCGGGCCCCCGUCAAUUCCUUUGAGUUUUAGCCUUGCGGCCGUACUCCCCAGGCGGGGCACUUAAUGCGUUAGCGCCGGCACGGGAGGAGUCGACACCUCCCACACCUAGCACCCAUCGUUUACGGCGUGGACUAC